GACGUAGGGCGCGAGCGUUGUCCGGAUUUAUUGGGCGUAAAGAGCUCGUAGGCGGCUUGUCGCGUCGACUGUGAAAUCCCGCGGCUCAACCGCGGGUCUGCAGUCGAUACGGGCAGGCUAGAGUUCGGUAGGGGAGUCUGGAAUUCCAGGUGUAGCGGUGAAAUGACGUAGAUAUCUGGAGGAAUACCGGUGGCGAAGGCGGCAUCCUGGACCGACAUUGACGCUGAGGAGCGAAAGCUAGGGGAGCAAACGGG
rnacentral:rRNA from 1 species